UGGGGAAUAUUGCACAAUGGGCGAAAGCCUGAUGCAGCAACGCCGCGUGAGUGAUGAAGGUCUUCGGAUUGUAAAGCUCUGUCUUUUGGGACGAUAAUGACGGUACCAAAGGAGGAAGCCACGGCUAACUACGUGCCAGCAGCCGCGGUAAUACGUAGGUGGCGAGCGUUGUCCGGAUUUACUGGGCGUAAAGGGUGCGUAGGCGGAUGUUUAAGUGAGAUGUGAAAUACCCGGGCUUAACUUGGGUGCUGCAUUUCAAACUGGAUAUCUAGAGUGCAGGAGAGGAGAAUGGAAUUCCUAGUGUAGCGGUGAAAUGCGUAGAGAUUAGGAAGAACACCAGUGGCGAAGGCGAUUCUCUGGACUGUAACUGACGCUGAGGCACGAAAGCGUGGGUAGCAAACAGGAUUAGAUACCCUGGUAGUCCACGCCGUAAACGAUGAGUACUAGGUGUAGGAGGUAUCGACCCCUUCUGUGCCGCAGUAAACACAUUAAGUACUCCGCCU
rnacentral:rRNA from 1 species